AAGAAGUCAUCACCAAAGGGUUGGCGGAAAAAGGUAAAGAAAGACAUCACCAAAGGGUUGGUGGAAAAGAAACCUCACUAGGGAGUGACAUCACCAAAGGGUUGGUGGAAAAGAAACCUCACUAUGGAGUGGCAUCACCAAAGGGUUGGUGGAAAAGAAACCUCACUAGGGAGUGGCAUUACCAAAGGGUUGGUGGAAAAUAAACCUCA
rnacentral:lncRNA from 1 species